rnacentral:rRNA from 1 species
CGGAGGGUGCAAGCGUUGUCCGGAUUUAUUGGGUUUAAAGGGUGCGUAGGUGGCCUUAUAAGUCAGCGGUGAAAGUCUGCAGCUUAACUGUAGAACUGCCAUUGAUACUGUAAGGCUUGAGUACUGAUGAGGUAGGCGGAAUUGAUAGUGUAGCGGUGAAAUGCAUAGAUAUUAUCAAGAACACCGAUUGCGAAGGCAGCUUACUAAGGAGUUACUGACACUGAGGCACGAAAGCGUGGGGAUCAAACAGGAUUAGAUACCCUGGUAGUCCACGCCAUAAACGAUGAUUACUCGAUGUAUGCGAUAGACUGUAUGCGUCCAAGCGAAAGCGUUAAGUAAUCCACCUGGGGAGUACGACCGCAAGGUUG